rnacentral:rRNA from 1 species
UACGUAGGGGGCAAGCGUUGUCCGGAUUUAUUGGGCGUAAAGAGCUCGUAGGUGGUUCGGUAAGUCGGAUGUGAAAUCUCCAGGCUCAACCUGGAGGGGUCAUUCGAUACUGCCGUGACUAGAGUUCGGUAGGGGAGUGUGGAAUUCCUGGUGGAGCGGUGAAAUGCGCAGAUAUCAGGAGGAACACCAGUGGCGAAGGCGCACAUCUGGCCCGAUACUGACGCUGAGGCGCGAAAGCUAGGGGAGCAAACGGG